UCGGGUGUCGGGCAGGUGCAGCUUUAAGUCCCAGCUCUGCCACUUACAAGCUGCACGCCCCUGAGCUUGGUGUUCAGUAAGCAGCGCCCACCCCCAGCCCCCCAGCCUGGCGCCCUGGGCACUGAGAAAAGAGUGAGCCCAUCUCUCUUCUCUGCUCAGCACCCUUCAAACAGUUAACCGUACAAGGAAAAUUGUUUAUCUGCUCUGUCCCCUGGAAGGGACCCUGAGAGACUGGCCGAGCUCCGUUGGGACUCCUGACAUUCCUUCUCCAGACCCGGACGCCCAGCACCCGCAUCCUGAUGGUGUCGCCCUGGCCCUCAGAGGGCGGCGCUGGGGUUCGGUGUCGGGUGGGCACGGCUGACGAGCUCAGGCCCGGAGAGCACUGCCACCGCUCGUCAGUGAGCGUUUACAGUCUUGUUUGUAAUGUUCUCGUCGUGCAGGCUGCCGGGCACUGAGCUGGUAGCCAUCAGCACCUUUCCUGCCACACCCCACCCUUACUGGUGAGACCACCUCCCCGAAAUCUCAGCUCGUGGCGAGUCUUGAAUCCUCAUUCUUCUGCCCAGAGACAUCUCGGCUGACGUGGUUUCUGCAGCGAAGGCAACGGCUCCUCACCCUCUGCCACCGUCCUCAGGUCAGCAGGCCCCCCGGCGUGUCCCCCACCCCUGCUGUGUGCUCUUCCCCACCCCCACAGUGUCAAAGCACAGCGAGACGCCCCCAUGAUGGGGCUCUCCCUCUGGUGCAUUCGUGGGAUCAGCUGUCGCGAGGAGCCCACGAGUCGUUCCGUGUGAAACCUUCCGUUCGUAGAGGCUGCUGCCUGGGAGACAUGGGCCGCCUGGCACCUUCAGAACAGAUGCAGGGCGCACACGGUGUCAGUUCCGUGUCCAGGGCAGGCGCAGAGGCCGUCCACACGGCAGCCCUGCCCACACAGCGUGUCCAGAACCGAGUCCGUCCACACGGCGUGUCCAGAACAGAUGCAGGGCGCACACGGUGUCAGUUCCGUGUCCAGGGCAGGCGCAGAGGCCGUCCACAUGGAGUCGGUUCCAUCCACACGGCACGUCCAGGGUGCAUCCACAGAGGUUGCAGGGGCUGGGGUGGGGCUGAGAGCAGAGCAAGAGGCAGAAAGGAGGGUCCGGACGGGGUAGAAAGAACCGGUAGCCAGGUUUCCUGCACUGACUCCUCUAGCUGUUCUGUCCAGAAUCAGGGCCCUCGUUGAGCCUACUUCAGAGGGUUGCCGGAGGCGCAGAUGAGAAAAUGCAGUGUUUCCUGUGGUGCCCGGCGUACGGUAAGGGCUCAGGAAAGGGUGGUUUUAUUACUACUCUUGCGGGUGCUCGGAGAAGGGCGGGGGCGACAGUGCGGCAGGGCCCCAGCCUACUGAGUCCACGCCUGGAAGCCCUGCUGCCCGCCCCGCGCCCAGACCGGAGCCCAGUGUGGCUUUUGGGAAGAGCGUGUGGCCGUGCGGACGGAGCCAGCGGCAGUGAACGUGGUCACGAGCUCUGAUCCAGGACUCCGAGGACGCCCAGGGUCCCAGCCCCUGGGUCACCUGGCAUCAGGAGUGACCUUGCACGGCUGUGUGUGGACAGCCCGGCUCACACGUGCAGACUCUGUCCACUGACCCGGUGCCCCUCGGCCACCCCUCACGCCCACGUCUGUGCCCACUGCUGAAUGUCUCCGAAGAAAAUUGAGGGGGAAGCUCAGCAGAGCGUAAGGGCUCUGGGCCCCGCGCUGUAUCUGACAUUGGGAAAAAACGACGACGACAACAACAGCAAAAAACCCAAUGCCCGAAAGGAGCGUGUUUAAGACGAAGGUGAAGCUGUUCAGAGAACUCGUCCGCUCCAGUGCCACCGACUCUGCUUUUGGUGGCAUAGCCGUGCUUCCACUGCCAAGACCAGAUGAAAACCAAAAUGGGCAAAUGACUCGAAUAGA